rfam:Triticum aestivum genome assembly, contig: Triticum_aestivum_CS42_TGACv1_scaffold_221214_3B
CCGCUACUCCCUCCGUUCGGAAUUACUCGUCCAAAAAAUGAAUGUAUCUAGAUGUAUUUUAGUUGUAGAUACAUUCAUUUUUGUGACAAGUAAUUCUAAACGGAGGGAAUACAUG